rnacentral:rRNA from 1 species
CCUACGGGGCGCAGCAGUGAGGAAUAUUGGUCAAUGGGCGAGAGCCUGAACCAGCCAAGUCGCGUGAGGGAGUACUGCCCUAUGGGUUGUAAACCUCUUUUGUCGGGGAGCAAAACCCGGGACGUGUCCCGGACUGCGUGUAUCCGAAGAAAAAGCAUCGGCUAACUCCGUGCCAGCAGCCGCGGUAAUACGGAGGAUGCGAGCGUUAUCCGGAUUUAUUGGGUUUAAAGGGUGCGUAGGCGGUCCGUUAAGUCAGCGGUAAAAUUG